GACGAACGCUGGCGGCGUGCUUAACACAUGCAAGUCGAACGAUGAACCCGGAGCUUGCUCCGGUGGAUUAGUGGCGAACGGGUGAGUAACACGUGAGUAACCUGCCCUUGACUCUGGGCUAACUGCGGGAAACUGUAGCUAAUACCGGAUAAGCCCCUCGGCGGCAUCGCCAGGGGGUGGAAAGCAUUUCGGUCAAGGAUGGACUCGGGGCCUAUCAGCUAGUUGGUGAGGGAACGGCUCACCAAGGGGACGACGGGUGGCCGGCCUGCGGGGGUGACCGGCCACACUGGGACGGGGAAACGGCCCAGACUCCUACGGGAGGCAGAGGUGGGGAAUAUUGCACGAUGGGCGCAAGGCUGACGCAGCUACGCCGCGUGAGGGAUGACGGCCUUCGGGUUGUAAACCUCUUUUAGUAGGGAAGAAGCGAAGUGACGGUACCUGCAGAAAAAGCACCGGCUACCUACGUGCCAGCCGCCGCGGUAA
rnacentral:rRNA from 1 species